rnacentral:rRNA from 1 species
GACGAACGCUGGCGGCGUGCCUAACACAUGCAAGUCGAACGGAGAAUUUUAUUUCGGUAGAAUUCUUAGUGGCGAACGGGUGAGUAACGCGUAGGCAAACCUGCCCUUUAGACGGGGACAACAUUCCGAAAGGAGUGCUAAUACCGGAUGUGAUCAUCUUGCCGCAUGGCAGGAUGAAGAAAGAUGGCCUCUACAAGUAAGCUAUCGCUAAAGGAUGGGCCUGCGUCUGAUUAGCUAGUUGGUAGUGUAACGGACUACCAAGGCGAUGAUCAGUAGCCGGUCUGAGAGGAUGAACGGCCACAUUGGGACUGAGACACGGCCCAAACUCCUACGGGAGGCAGCAGUGGGGAAUCUUCCGCAAUGGACGAAAAGUACUGGUGGAGCGACGCCGCGUGAACGAUGAAGGCCGUAAGGUUGU